GACGAACGCUGGCGGCGUGCCUAAUACAUGCAAGUAGAACGCUGAAGGAGGAGCUUGCUUCUCUGGAUGAGUUGCGAACGGGUGAGUAACGCGUAGGUAACCUGCCUGGUAGCGGGGGAUAACUAUUGGAAACGAUAGCUAAUACCGCAUAAUAGUAGAUGUUGCAUGACAUUUGCUUAAAAGGUGCAAUUGCAUCACUACCAGAUGGACCUGCGUUGUAUUAGCUAGUUGGUGGGGUAACGGCUCACCAAGGCGACGAUACAUAGCCGACCUGAGAGGGUGAUCGGCCACACUGGGACUGAGACACGGCCCAGACUCCUACGGGAGGCAGCAGUAGGGAAUCUUCGGCAAUGGACGGAAGUCUGACCGAGCAACGCCGCGUGAGUGAAGAAGGUUUUCGGAUCGUAAAGCUCUGUUGUAGGAGAAGAACGAGUGUGAGAGUGGAAAGUUCACACUGUGACGGUAUCUUACCAGAAAGGGACGGCUAACUACGUGCCAGCAGCCGCGGUAAUACGUAGGUCCCGAGCGUUGUCCGGAUUUAUUGGGCGUAAAGCGAGCGCAGGCGGUUAGAUAAGUCUGAAGUUAAAGGCUGUGGCUUAACCAUAGUACGCUUUGGAAACUGUUUAACUUGAGUGCAAGAGGGGAGAGUGGAAUUCCAUGUGUAGCGGUGAAAUGCGUAGAUAUAUGGAGGAACACCGGUGGCGAAAGCGGCUCUCUGGCUUGUAACUGACGCUGAGGCUCGAAAGCGUGGGGAGCAAACAGG
rnacentral:rRNA from 1 species